UAUCAGUCUUUAUUUACAUUGUGCAAUCAGUGACAGAUUAUCAGUCUUCGAAAACGACGAAAACUACCCACAGUACAGACUUCUAUACUUAAGAAAUCUGUAGCGAAAACACAUUGAAUGCGUAUUGCGUACUGCGUAGUGGCGACGAAAUGUACAACUAAGAUAAAAGCUGCAUUAACAAGGUCUUAUUUAUUGGCUCGGAAGUUGUUGGAAUUGUAUAUAGUUUUAUAUGCUCUCAGAUAAUAGCAUGUCUAGCUAGAAAUCUGAACUUUAUGAUGCAUAAACAUGACCCAAUACCGUUCAAAAUGAGUAAAACAAUAUCACACACAAAAAUAGUAUGAUACUCCGCAGAUUCAUUUAAACCAGACAUACAAAGAAUUAUGUAUCUUAAAAAAAAAUAUAUCAAC